GGUCGGGGGGACCCUCGGGGACGAAAUCGGCGUCCAUCUGGGGAGGGGGCGUCACUGGGGAGGGGGCUGCACCCCCAAUCCAGGGCCUGGGGACCCCCAGACCAGUGGGGAGGGGGCUGCACCCCCCUUGGGUCCUGGAGACCCCCAGACCAGUGGGGAGGGGGCUGCACCCCAAAUCCCAGACCCCUAACAAAGUGGGGAGGGGGCUGCACCCCAAAUCCAGGGCCUGGGGACCCCCAGACCAGUGGGGAGGGGGCUGCACCCCAAAUCCUGGACCCCCAACCCAGUGGGGAGGGGGCUGCACCCCAAAUCCUGGACCCCCAACCCAGUGGGGAGGGGGCUGCACCCCCCCAAAUCUGGGACCCCCAACCCAGUGGGGAGGGGGCUGCACCCCCCUUGGGUCAUGGAGACCCCCAGCCCAGUGGGGAGGGGGCUGCACCCCCAAUCCAGGGCCUGGAGACCCCCAGACCAGUGGGGAGGGGGCUGCACCCCAAAUCCCGGACCCCCAACACAGUGGGGAGGGGGCUGCACCCCCAAUCCAGGGCCUGGGGACCCCCAGACCAGUGGGGAGGGGGCUGCACCCCAAAUCUGGGACCCCCAACCCCAAUGGGGAGGGGGCUGCAGCCCCAAUCCCGGACCCCCAACCCCAAUGGGGAGGGGGCUGCACCCCCCCCAAUCCUGGAGACCCCCACACAAAUGGGGAGGGGGCUGCACCCCAAAUCCUGGUCCUGGGGACCCCCAGACCAGUGGGGAGGGGGCUGCACCCCAAAUCCUGGACCGCUAACAAAGUGGGGAGGGGGCUGCACCCCAAAUCCUGGUCCUGGGGACCCCCAGACCAGUGGGGAGGGGGCUGCACCCCCCCAAAUCUGGGACCCCCAACCCAGUGGGGAGGGGGCUGCACCCCCCCAAAUCUGGGACCCCCAACCCAGUGGGGAGGGGGCUGCACCCCCCCCGAAUCUGGGACCCCCAACCCCAAUGGGGAGGGGUCUCAGUUUUGGGGAGGGGUCUCAUUCCAAGGGGGGUCCCAUUUUGGGGAGGGGUCUCCCAUUUUGGGGAGGGGUCCCAUUUUGGGGAGGGGUCCCAGUUUGAGGAGGGGUCCCA
rnacentral:lncRNA from 1 species